GUCGAGCGAGCUGAACCAGCAGAUUCACUUCGGUGAUGACGCUGGGAACGCGAGCGGCGGAUGGGUGAGUAACACGUGGGUAACCUGCCCUAAAGUCUGGGAUACCACUUGGGAACAGGUGCUAAUACCGGAUAACAACAAUAGCUGCAUGGCUAUUGCUUAAAAGGCGGCGAAAGCUGUCGCUAAAGGAUGGACCCGCGGUGCAUUAGCUAGUUGGUAAGGUAAUGGCUUACCAAGGCGACGAUGCAUAGCCGAGUUGAGAGACUGAUCGGCCACAUUGGGACUGAGACACGGCCCAAACUCCUACGGGAGGCAGCAGUAGGGAAUCUUCCACAAUGGGCGAGAGCCUGAUGGAGCAACGCCGCGUGAGUGAAGAAGGUUUUCGGAUCGUAAAGCUCUGUUGUUGGUGAAGAAGGAUAGAGGUAGUAACUGGCCCCUAUUUGACGGUAAUCAACCAGAAAGUCACGGCUAACUACGUGCCAGCAGCCGCGGUAAUACGUAGGUGGCAAGCGUUGUCCGGAUUUAUUGGGCGUAAAGCGAGCGCAGGCGGAAAGAUAAGUCUGAUGUGAAAGCCCCCGGCUUAACCGAGGAAUUGCAUCGGAAACUGUGUUUCUUGAGUGCAGAAGAGGAGAGUGGAACUCCAUGUGUAGCGGUGGAAUGCGUAGAUAUAUGGAAGAACACCAGUGGCGAAGGCGGCUCUCUGGUCUGUAACUGACGCUGAGGCUCGAAAGCAUGGGUAGCGAACAGGAUUAGAUACCCUGGUAGUCCAUGCCGUAAACGAUGAGUGCUAAGUGUUGGGAGGUUUCCGCCUCUCAGUGCUGCAGCUAACGCAUUAAGCACU
rnacentral:rRNA from 1 species